AGUUGCACUAUUUUCAUUAUAGGUUAACCAACAAUGAAAACAAAACAUCAAAAAAUUCAGCCUGCUAUAAACAUGCGCGCGCGCGCGCGCACAUAGUGAGAGAAGAAAAAGAAUUUUCUUUUUGGUGGGAUGUCUUCUUUUUGUUGGUGAUGAUGGUGGGCAGGAGUACUAAUGGUGAUGGGUCACUGUUAUGGAUAGGAAAAAGAAGGAUGAGGAAUAAAAAUUGUGACAGGACGGUGGUGGUGCUAUGGUAGAUAUUGAUCGAUGGAGGCAAGCUAAUUUAAUUGAAAAUAUUUUCAAUAAUUUGUUCAAUAUUCAAUUCAAUAAACUAAUCGUUGGUUUGUGUCUGUGUUUGCAUUUGAUUAUUAAUUUUGAUCUCAUUUUGCAUUUGAUUGUUCUCGAUGAAAUGAGAGAGAGAGAGAAAAAAAAAGUGUUCUUAGGCUAUCAUAUGAUUUGACCAUUUUACCUUUGCACAUUUAAUAAAUGUAAAAAAUUCAUUUAAAAUAAUAUUUAAACCUUAACUAGAAAAUCAUUUUUUUAUUAGUUACAAAAAUAAGAAUUUUUUUUAUUUUUUCCAUGUUUUUUUCUUAAACUUUUUGAUUUUAUUUUAUUUUAUAAAAAAUUAUUUCAUAUUCCCCUUAAUUUUCUUUCAUUUCCACUCAAGAGUAUACAUCAUACAUGAGAGUUACAUAUCAAUUUUCUAUUUUUUAUGUGGAAUCAGAUGUGGCGAACCGUUUAAAGUCAACCUUAUUUAACAGAUUUUCAAAUGUUUUGAAAGUAAAUUAAAGUUUAUUUAGUUGACUAUAAAAAAAAUAUAAUUAUGCAUUUGUAAAUUGACCUAAAGUAUAGUGAGUUAAAAAUUAUUUAACCCCAAAUAAUACUUAUGGGGUUAAUAUUUUAAUUUAUUAUGGUUUGUACAAUGUAAUUGGUUUAAUAUGCUGAGAAAUAUAAAAUAUUUUGUUUUUUUCUUUUAGAGGGAGGAGGAGCCGAGGAGGCAAAACUUUUGGAAGAUAUAUGUGUUAUUUAGUUCAGUUUUUGUUGGGUGAACUUUGAUAUUCCACAUUUCCACUUAUUUUUGGAACAAUUUGGUUAAAGCUUUCUUUUCUAUAUCCAAUAUGAUCAAAUGUAUUAUAUACAUGAAUUCCUUAUAUUGUUAUGUUUUAAUUUAUUAAACUAUGUUUCUUAGAUCUCUCUUGUAAUUGUUUUACUUAUAGUUCUAGAAUUAGUGAUCCUAUUUAGGUUCUAUUUUAUUCUUUUAAAUAAUAAUACUCAAUACCUUUGUUUCUAGGGAAUUAUAUAUGAGGUAGUUGAAAUAAAAGUAUAUAUUAUCUUAAUGUUCAAGUCAUUAUUUAAUUGGUGGACUGUACAAUACUUGGAGAGGUUAGGAUAUUAUAUUUCUAGUCCAUAGUUUAAAUAUAGAACAAAAAAUAAGAUUAACUAUUGCAUUAUUGAUGCAAGAAUUACAAGUUAGUAGCCAAACAAACUCGACUACUUUUAAAAAAUUUGGUUGAACGGAAUAAACGUUAUUCAGUUGUUUAUAAAGAUUGACUUGCUAUUUUUAAAUACUAGUUAAGUUUCACUAAUCAGUGCAAACUCACAGGUAGCCUGAUUCUUGUAUUUUUCCCUCGAGUCCCAUUAGUUAUCAUCAUGCCACUAACUUGAGGUGAAAUCUCCAACCAAGUUUUAAGUAUGCCAAAUCUCCUUUGAACAUGCAUAGAAGUCGCCAAGGUCGAACUAAAUAAGUUCAACUGGUUUUCUUCAAGCUUGAUUCAAAUGGGUCAACACUCAUUCCUACGACACAAACCAAAAUCAACCUCUUAAUUGAGCUACCUUGACAUUUGUCUUGAAUAGAAAUUCAGCAAUUACUAGCAGGCCAAAUUUAGCAUUUGCAUCACAUGAAUCUCACUAGAUUUUUAUCAUAUCUCAUGACAUUUAUACUUUGUUCAUAGGAGCUUCUCUUAACUCCUAUGUUAAAGUUCCUAAUAGCUUAAAGGUAUCUUUGAUACCAACUCAGGGUAAUGCCAAAUAUAUGAAUUCAAAACUAUAAUGCACCAUAAGAGCUUUAUGAAAUUUUAAAAAGAAAAAAUACACAAAAUUGAUGAUACAAUUCAUGAUUCCAGUUAGCGAAAACAAAUUAAACUCAUCCAAGAGUAUGAUUAACCCUGAGAUGCUAAGUGGAUGAGAUUGUUAAACAGAGCAAAAUCAACUGUUGUAUUCUUAUUAUUUUUUAUUAUUGCUUCUAUUCAUAUAUAUGUUGCAGAGAAGAAUUGCUACUCACUUUAUUAAUUUUUUGUGUUAUUUCAUUCUUUAAAUCCAUUGUGUUCUUAACUGUUGUAGGUGGUUGAGGAAAAACGAAGCCUAGAUUUUGUUUCCAUUUUCAGCCACAUAAGGAAGAUGUUUCUUGGGUUGUUAAUGAGACUUGUAUGUCAUCCAAGGCUAUGUCAUUGCUUGAAGAAUCUGAGUCCAUUGAGCAUAGAAUAGUAGAACAACUCUUGCAAAUACCGUUGGAAAUAAAGAGAGGGGGAUGUGUAUGUACGAG
rnacentral:lncRNA from 1 species